CCCUUAGAUGUUCUGGGCCGCACGCGCGUUACAAUGAAUCGUUCAACAGGUUUCUUCCUGAGUCGAAAGGCUUGGGUAAUCCUUUAAAUACGGUUCGUGCUAGGGAUAGAUUUUUGCAAUUAUUAAUCUUGAACGAGGAAUAUUUAGUAAACGCAGGUCAUCAGCCUGCAUUGAUUACGUCCCUGCCCUUUGUACACACCGCCCGUCGCUCCUACCGAUUGGGUGUGCUGGUGAAAUGUUCGGAUCGGCCGUUUGUCGCGGUUUCCGCGUCAUGUGGCUGAGAAGUUCAUUAAACCCUCCCACCUAGAGGAAGGAGAAGUCGUAACA
rnacentral:rRNA from 1 species